GACAGUUUGGCCGAGUGGUUAAGGCGGCAGACUCGAACGGGCCUCUUGAAAAUCCUUCUAGGCUCUCCGUUAUCUGCUGGGUUCGCCCGCACAGGUUCAAAUCCUGUAGCUGUCG
rfam:Fonsecaea pedrosoi CBS 271.37 unplaced genomic scaffold supercont1.3, whole genome shotgun sequence.